rnacentral:snoRNA from 1 species
AUUUUACCUUAAAAAAGGAAAAUAUGAGGCCACUGGCCGAUGAACUCACAAGUGUAGGUAGUGUGCUACAUGAGGGGCAAGUUUUUCGCUAACAUCACAAGGGUCUCUGGCCCAAUGAGUGGAGUUUGAUAGUAAUACUUGCUACAAAU